rnacentral:SRP_RNA from 1 species
GCUGGGCGUGGUGGCGGGCGCCUGUAAUCCCCGCUACUUGGGAGGCUGAGGCAGGAGAAUCGCUUGAACCCAGGAAGUGGAGGUUGCAGUGAGCUGAGAUUGUGCCAUUGCACUCCAGCCUGAGCACCAAGAGCGAAACUCUGUCUCAAAAAAAAAAAAAAAGAUGCAUCCCAAAUAUCUUUUUUUUCUUUUUGAGAUGAAGUCUCACUCUGUUGCCCAAGCUGGAGUGCAGUGGCGUGGUCUCAGCUCACUGCAACCUCCACCUCCUGGUUCAAGUGAUUCUCCUGCCUCAG